CGCUCUCCCCAAGGACGAAGCCAUGCAUGCCCGCUCACCCGGGACGCGGCGGACGGCUCAGGACAACGGUUGCACCCCCCGCGGCGGUCCCUGCUAGCCGGACACCGCUGGCAACCCGGCGCCAAGACGUGCGCGCAAGGGCGGGCGCCCGCGGGCGAGCAGCGUGACGCAGCGACGGCCCGCCCGGGCUUCCGGGGCAUCACCCGGUCGG
rnacentral:rRNA from 1 species